GAUGAAAGGUCCUAGCUAACGGGGUUAGCUCGUUAAACAACUGCAAGAAUAGACUCAUUGCUUUUGCAUCAAAAUGGGCCUCUUGGUGAUUUGGGGGUUCAGAAUUUGGGCACAUAAUAGCCCUGGCUUGUGUCUGUGUGUGUGUUCAGUAGCGGCUCCUUAGGCAAUUGCUAUCCAUCAGCAGUUGCAACUCCCUGAAGCUACCAGCAGUACCUCAGCUGCACUGGCCUUAGCUAGACAGGAAUUCUGUUCCCUCAGGCAACAGGCUUUAUCACAGCUGCUGAAGGAAACUUUAUCUAGAUCUCUAUCCCUCUACAGAAUUCGGGAUGCAAAGGCUGAGGUGAAAUCCUGCUGGCUCAGAGAGGCUGAAUAGCAAGCAAGUAGCCAACCUUCUCUCAUAGCUCCUGUCUCCUCCCAAAACCCUAGCUACACAUGGUUCCUCCCACCCUACCACUUCCUGUCAGCUAGCUGCUGAGUCAACAUCCUGACUCUCGGUCAAUUUUAUUUAAUCAAACAAAUGUAACACACCUUUGCAUCAUUAAACACAUAUUCCACAGCAUAAAUGAAUUUAACCCAUAUUUAAUUAAUAUUCUAUGAUACUGGCUGUCCUGGAACUUGCUAAUCAGCCCAAGCUGGCUUCAAGUGCCCAGAGAUCUGACUGUCUCUGCUUCCCCCGGGUGCUGGGAUUAAAGGCGUGAGACACCAUGACGGUUCCUGCUUCCGGACCAGGUUCCUGCCUUGACUUCCGUUUUCGAUGGAUGGACCAUUACCCAGAAGCCUAAGAUAAAAUACACCUUCUCCGUCCCUUCUCCGUCCCGAGUUGCCUCCGGUCAUUGUGUUUUACCACAAUAGAAACCCGACUUCCACACCUGACUUUAAACCUCCAUUCUUUAUAAGUUAUCCAGUCUCAGGGAGUCUGUGAUAGCAAGAAAAAACAGUCUGACACAGGUUACUAAUGACUGUGCCAGAAAUGCCCUGUUGGGCCCUGCCGGGGGUUGUGAGUCUGAUUUCUGAGAACUGGGCUGCACUCACACUUGACUUGGUUGUGCUCUGUUGAAAUCCCGUG
rnacentral:lncRNA from 1 species